AGCGAACGCUGGCGGCAGGCCUAACACAUGAAAGUCGAGCGCCCCGCAAGGGGAGCGGCAGACGGGAGAGUAACACGUGGGAACGUACCCUUUGGUUCGGAACAACCCAGGGAAACUUGGGCUAAUACCGGAUAAGCCCUUACGGGGAAAGAUUCAUCGCCGAAGGAUCGGCCCGCGUCUGGUUAGCUAGUUGGUGGGGUAACGGCCCACCAAGGCGACGAUCAGUAGCUGGUCUGAGAGGGUGAUCAGCCUCACUGGGGCUGAGACACGGCCCAGACUCCGACGGGAGGCAGGAGUGGGGAAUAUUGGACAAUGGGCGCAAGCCUGGUCCAGCCAUGCCGCGUGGGUGAUGAAGGCCCUACGGUUGUAAAGCCCUUUCGGCGGGGAAGAUAAUGACGGUACCCGCAGAAGAAGCCCCGGCUAACUUCGUGCCAGCCGCCGCAGUAA
rnacentral:rRNA from 1 species